UACAGAGACUGCAAGCGUUAUUCGGAUUCACUGGGCGUAAAGGGUGCGCAGGUGGCCGUGUGUGUGAGGCGUGAAAGCCCGGGGCUUAACCCCGGAAUUGCACCUCAAACUACAUGGCUAGAGCAUUGGAGAGGGUAGCGGAAGUUCACGGUGUAGCAGUGAAAUGCGUAGAUAUCGUGAGGAACACCAGUGGCGAAGGCGGGUCUCUGGACGAGUUCCGUGACGCUGAGGCACGAAGGUCAGGGGAGCAAACGGG
rnacentral:rRNA from 1 species